rnacentral:tRNA from 1 species
GCGGGUGUAGCUCAGUGGUAGAGCGCCACCUUGCCAAGGUGGAUGCCGAGGGUUCAAGUCCCUUCACCCGCUCCA